rnacentral:rRNA from 1 species
GAGUUUGAUCAUGGCUCAGAACGAACGCUGGCGGCGUGCCUAACACAUGCAAGUCGAGCGGGAAAGUUCCCUUCGGGGAGCGAGUACAGCGGCGAACGGGUGAGUAACACGUAGGUAACCUACCCUUGAGACUGGGAUAACUCGCCGAAAGGCGGGCUAAUACCAGAUAAGACCACGAGGGCUGCGGCCCAUGUGGGAAAAGGUGGCCUCUACUUGUAAGCUUCCACUCUGGGAUGGGCCUGCGCGCCAUUAGCUAGUUGGUGGGGUAAUGGCCUACCAAGGCUUAGAUGGCUAGCUGGUCUGAGAGGAUGACCAGCCACACUGGGACUGAGACACGGCCCAGACUCCUACGGGAGGCAGCAGUGGGGAAUAUUGCGCAAUGGGCGAAAGCCUGACGCAGCGACGCCGCGUGGGUGAUGAAGGCCUUCGGGUCGUAAAGCCCUGUCAAGGGGGACGAAACCUCGCCGACCUAAUAUGUCGGCGACUUGACGGUACCUCUGAAGGAAGCACCGGCUAACUCCGUGCCAGCAGCCGCGGUAAUACGGAGGGUGCGAGCGUUGUUCGGAAUCACUGGGCGUAAAGCGCGUGUAGGCGGCCUCUUCAGUCUGGUGUGAAAGCCCGGGGCU